GUUGGCCUCAGUCAUGAAGCAUGACGGGGCCAGACAAUAAGGUCUUUAGAGAGGCUCAUCUGUGCUGUCUUUCCUCCAUUCAGGACCUGUAAAGGUCCAGAAUGAGGGACAAACACAUCUCUACAGACCUUUCACAUCAUGGAGAUAAACUGUUCACAUUUCUUCCUUCAGGCAGACGAUACAGAGUGUUGUUAACAAAAAAACAGACACCACAGACAAUUCAUUCCCCCGGGCUUUCACUUUGAUGAACACUGUGAAUGUUCAUGUGUAUGAGAGCCAUGUAAUGUCCAUGUGUGCAUGCUGACUGUGCUGCUCUGACCCCUCCUCCUUUCAGGGUGGAGCCUGCUGGAGUCCGAUGGUUGAGACCAGGUCUGAGGAAGUAUUCCUGUCAA